GCCGGCCUCUCCUCUAAUCCUCCUUCGCUCUCCAUCUUGCUACUAUCUAGAUCUACUCAAGUUUAGAGAAGAGAGGAGAGCUCUCAUCUCUAAACCCUAGCUUUUGCUCUGUCUAUGAAUAAUGAAUAAUGAUCGAGGGGUGCCUCCUCCAGGGGCCAGGGGGUCUGGUUAUAUAGUCCCCUCAAGUGAACCUGGGUCGUCGGAUCAAACCGACAUUGAUUGAAUGGUUAUUGUUGAACCUUUAGGUCGGUGGAGCAUAAUCCGUGAGAUUGAGCGUGAUUGGCCACAGGAGGUGGUCGGGCGCCCAGUAGGACAGGGCGGGCGCCCUGUCUCUGGCCCCGUUUCGCCUCCGCUUCGGUCUCGUGGCUUCUGGAGUCUUCUAGAUGUAAGAUAAUUGCGCGGCACGUUAAUAUCUUUACGUAAUCCCGACGUUUGGGCCUUUCUUCCUUAUUUCCUGAUAACCCCCUGCAGAAAUAGACAAACACCAAAACUCGUGGAAUUCUGUCAGAUAAAACCCUAAGUCUAGAUGUUGAUUUCAUUUGGAUCCUUUUCUUUAUUUAUUUGAUAGUUAAAUUUGAUACUUAAGGACCGUCAACAAACUCCCCCAAGCUUACCUCUUGCUCGUCCCUGAGCAAAGAUAGACUCAGCUAUGGAUCAGAAGUAGUUGCAAUAUCUUUAAAAAUUUGACGGUACACAUGCUUUUAAAUAAGAUCUCAUCUCUGAGUUAGAGUAAACUGUCAAGACUUAAAACUUACUUACUUUACCUUCACCAUGGGACUUGUAACCGUCACUUCUGUCUUGAGUGGUUAAAAGAUAGAACAGUCCCAUCAAGUGCCAUGUCUCUUAUUCUUGAUCAGCUAUAGCUCUGGAGUAUUUGCAGAUUUUCAAAUAAAACUUAGAGAUUCCUUUGUAUGACUCUCUCAUAUCUCUCUUUUGUGGUAUUUCUGGAUCCUUACCAAGGCAGUGAUGGUAUAUGCCUUCUCUCAAAAUAUGUGGUAUUUGUGGUAUAAGGCAUAGUGACAUUGCCUUUUCUCUCACCCUACUCUAAUAAGGCUUUAAUAUCUGGAGCUCAUAGGUGGGAGAUAAAAUAUACAUACUUACAAGACAUGUAUUGCAUAGUCAAACCAUGGAUCCAAAGAAACAAAUCAAUAAGCCAAAUCAAGAUGUGCAUGUGUGGCGAAUGAAUGGUGAUGAUGGUGAUAACAAUGGUGAAAACAAUGGUGGUGGAAGUCUAAUUCUACUUUGCUCUUUGAGGGGAUACAUACCUUCCUUGCUUUUUUGAAACUUUAUGAGGAGAAUGAGAUGCUCUUUCUUUUUCUUUUCUCUCAGGUGGGUAUCUUGUACCCCUAAUUCUACUGUCGGACACUUGUCCAUUUUUACCUCUCGUCUCACUCUUUUUCUUUUCUUUCGAGGUUCCGGGCACUUGCCCCUUUUUAUUUCCUCGUUUUAUUAUUUUUUUUCUUUUCUUUUUUUUUCUUCUUUUUUUUCAGAGAUCUCAUCUCUUAAGAUAAUGUAGCAAGUGGUAGUAGCAAGAUAACUUGAGCAUUUAUUUCACAAGGGAAAAACACAGAUGUUUUUGGCUAUUCUCUCCCGAAUUAGGAGUAGAAUAUUUUUAGGUGAUUUUGGAGAUGGAAAUGGAUGGAUAUAUGUGGAUGGUACUUCCGGAGUAGAAGUAGCAUAUAUAUGAGUGAACGUGCAAGUGAAUCUUGAUUUAACCACAUGACAAGCUCCUAAGGGUCUACACAGCUUGACCACACUCAAUGCUCAUAAGCAGUUAAUAAUAAAUGUGUGGCUCAAAGUCUAGCAAACAUGUAUAUAUGGCUGUGGUAGGAAUUUAAACUUUCAUCAUACAGGAACUCAUCAUGCAACAUUUUAAAGAUUUUUCAAAGAUAAAAUUCUCCAGAAUUCUAGCAUCUCUAGGAAUAGAUAAACAGCAGCUCAACCUUCCCAUAUCAUAUCCGUUAACAACUUAGAUUUCAGAUCAAGUUUUCAUCCCACAAGUUUAGAUCUAGAGCAAGCUUUAAAUUAUAACAGUUAUGUCUAAACUUGAGAGAGAACUUCAAAUUUGCAAAUUAGGCAGAGCAACUAUUCAUCAUAUCCAUGCUAGAGUUUUAUUAUUAAGAUUCAUAGCAAACAUUAUUUAUUUAUUUAUUUAUUUAUUUAUUUAUUUAUUUAUUUAGCAAACUAAGGAAGGAUAUAUAUAUAUAUAAGCAUAAAAUCUUUAUUUGGUUUUUCAUAGUUUAUGUAUUUUAAUAUUCUAAUAUAAUAUAAGUAUAAAGAUAGGUAGAAAUACUUAGCGAGCUAAAUAGGGGUGCUCUCCCCCAAGCUGAAUUUUGACGUAAUUUCUCUUGAUGUAGCUAGCAGGUGGCAGAGGUGUAUUUGAAAGUCAGCAGCAUUCUGACAGCGAUUAGAAUGUCCUCCAUCUGCUAGUCUUCUUGAUUCUUAAAUUCUGUGGAGCUCAAAUAGACAACAAAGCUUGUGGAACUAAUUAAGUGUUAGCAUAAAUAUCUAGCCUUCAUCACGUUGAGCUUUCUCAAUAAAUAUUACUCCCUGUUUUUAUAUUUUUAUUUUAUAAAGUAGAAAAGAAAUAUUUAUUUUAUUUUUAUGCCACCACAGUGAAGGUACUUAUGGGUUUUAUGCCACUUGUAUACUCACGUGGGGCUUAGUAUUUUUUUUAACAUUUUUAUUUUCUUUUCAAGAUAGCAUGAUUAACUAAUAAUCUAUUUAAGGAAAUUAAAUAAUUAAAUGGAAAAGGGAAUGCAGAAAGGACAAAUAUAGACAACUACCAAUCUUACCUUUCGGCGAGGGUUCAAUGUUUUAAGUCUUCUUGACAAGACUUCUCACCGUGUUCAUUCUUCAGGUGCGUCAUUUGAUUCAGGUGCGGACCUUGACGUCUGCACCUUUUAAUACGGUGUCACCCACGUUCUUCGUUUGCCCAGCGGUUCGAAGUGCGGUGUUAGCAGUAUCUUGCUCAGUGUGUUUGUGCUCGUAGUGUACCUGCUCAUAGAGACAAGGCAGAGAUCAAGUGCAUGGGCCCUGUUGGUGGAAAACACCAACAGAACCAAAAGUGUAUUUGUUCUUCUCUAACCUUAAGCAUAGUGAGCAAGACAAAGUUGAUGGAUGAUAAGUUUAUGAGUGUAGCACUUAUAACAUUUGUCAGAUCAGAUCGCUCAACCUUAUGGAAAGAUAAUCUAUCUAUGUAUAUGUCUUUUUCUUUAUAUCUCUCAAUGAUUGAAUGUGAAACAUUUUAGCUCAUAUGAUUAGGAGUGUGGGAUCAUGGAGGUAGUACUAAGAACAAGGAUUAAAGGACUACACAUGCUGAAUCAGUUGAGUUGGUUAAUUUAGAGUUAUAAAUCAUACAUGUUUGUCUCUUUAUUUAUGUGAACGCCAGAACCAAGGAGAAGCUUAUAAAAGUGAUAGUCAGAUAUCUUAAGAUGUUACCUUCCUCGAAGAGUGAUGGUACAGUAUCAUCUUGUGGAAGCUUUCCUUUCUUAGCGGUUGUGCGUCGUGUUUGUGGCACCCUCCAUGGAUCAUCUCUCUAUGAUGAAUGAGCUAUGUCCUUCUUGUGCAAAUUGUUAAACUUCAUGUGUCACUCUCUUCGUCUCUGAUGUGAAUUUAUCUCAGGACUUCCAAAUCGAUAUUGAAAGUUUUUCUGCAGGGGUUAGUCCGACAAAAUAUACCAAUAUCUACUCAAGCAGUUUUUUUAGUUCAAUAACCAAACUAGACUCCAUGUUUAAUCAGAUUAAGGAAGGCUAUUUAACCUAAGCACCAUGCUUAAUUUAAAUGCCAAUGGAAGUAUGGCGAGUACUUCCAAACCAACACUUGCUAGUAAAUAGACAAAGGUAGCAUGACAGCAUUUAUAGAGAUUUACUCAAGUGGAGAUGAAGUAGUGUGAUUAGUAUUUAACAAAUUGAGCAUGUCUCAAAGGUAGGGACAACCAGCAUAGCAAC
rnacentral:lncRNA from 1 species